GUUCGCCGCCCGUGACUCUGCGAGAAGUCCAUUGAACCUUAUCAUUUAGAGGAAGGAGAAGUCGUAACAAGGUUUCCGUAGGUGAACCUGCGGAAGGAUCAUUGUCGAGACCGAAAUAUAUCGAGCGAUUCGGAUAACCUGUGAAUGUGCGGCGGCACCCGCCGUCGUAAUUGCUGUCUCCAUCGCGGCAUCAUAAUUGGGGCCACGAUGAAAGGCAGCUGAAAACAAACCGGCGCAGCUACGCGCCAAGGGAAUACAAAUAGACACGAGCCUGUAUUGGGUUUGUUGGCGUGGAGUGCAUUCGCACACCACAACUAUCUAAACGACUCUCGGCAAUGGAUAUCUCGGCUCUCGCAUCGAUGAAGAGCGCAGCGAAAUGCGAUACGUGGUGCGAAUUGCAGAAUCCCGCGAACCAUCGAGAAUUUGAACGCAAGUUGCGCCCGAGGCCAACCGGCCAAGGGCACGUCCGCCUGGGCGUCAAGCGUUAUGUCGCUCCGUCCCAAAUCCAUGCCACACGAUGGGUGUGACCUGGGUAGGGUCGGAUGUGCAGAGUGGCUCGUCGUGUCCCCGGCCGCGGCGGGCUUAAGAGCGGGUGAUCGUCUCGUUGGCCACGAACAACAAGGGGUGGAUUAAAAUUGUGCCUGUGUUGUAUCGUGCUUGCGUGAGAAGAGAUUAUACCCAUUGGAUGAUCCCAAUCUAAGCGUCGGUCCACGGACAUCGGCUUGGAAUGCGACCCCAGGAUGGGCGAGGCCACCCGCUGAGUUUAAGCAUAUCAAUAAGCGGAGGAGAAGAAACUUACAAGGAU
rnacentral:rRNA from 1 species